UACGUAGGGUGCAGGCGUUAAUCGGAAUUACUGGGCGUAAAGCGUGCGCAGGCGGCCUCUUAAGUCAGAUGUGAAAUCCCCGGGCUUAACCUGGGAACUGCGUUUGAAACUGGUAGGCUAGAGUGUGGAAGAGGGGGGUGGAAUUCCAGGUGUAGCAGUGAAAUGCGUAGAGAUGUGGAGGAACACCGAUGGCGAAGGCAGCCCCCUGGGUUAACACUGACGCUCAGGCACGAAAGCGUGGGGAGCAAACAGG
rnacentral:rRNA from 1 species